rnacentral:misc_RNA from 1 species
AGCAGCCGCGGUAAUUCCAGCUCCAAUAGCGUAUAUUAAAGUUGUUGCAGUUAAAAAGCUCGUAGUUGAAUUUCGGGAUUGGCGCAUCGGUCGUGCCUCACGGGGUAUGAACUGGUGCAGUCAAUUUCUCACCUUCUGGAGAACCGCGAUGUCCUUAAUUGGAUGCCGCGGGGAACCAGGACCUUUACUUUGAAGAAAUUAGAGUGUUUAAAGCAGGCAUUUUUGCUUGAAUACAUUAGCAUGGAAUAAUAAAAUAGGACGGCAUGGUUCUAUUUUGUUGGUUUCUAGGACCACCGUAAUGAUUAAUAGGGAUAGUUGGGGGCAUUAGUAUUCAAUUGUCAGAGGUGAAAUUCUUGGAUUUAUUGAAGACUAACUACUGCGAAAGCAUUUGCCAAGGAUGUUUUCAUUAAUCAAGAACGAAAGUUAGGGGAUCGAAGACGAUCAGAUACCGUCGUAGUCUUAACCAUAAACUAUGCCGACUAGGAAUCAGACGAUGUUAAUUUUUA